UCCUCCUUAGCUCAGCGGUAGUAGCGCUUCACUAGUAUGGAACGGCCUGUAUGUCUCUACUUAUGAAGAGGUCAGUCGUUCAAAUCGGCUAGGAGGAA